UUCGGAUGGCAAAUUUAUAUUUUAAUGAUGCAUCCGGUAUUAAAGGAAGAUGAUGUAAUUUCGAAAACAGAAAUUCAAGUUCCUUACUUUCUUCCCAAAUCGUAAUUUCUUCUUGUACAACUUCUUCCUGGGAACACCUCCUCUACUAUCGGGCGUCGGAUCCUCAGAUUGAUUUUACACGGUGUACCGCUGUCAUGUUGUGUAAGCUCGAGCAGAAAUACGCUUCGAUUCGCGUUGCUAUGGAUAGCAAACAACGGAGUUAUCGCGUGCAGGGAAUUUGGAAUUCAGUGGGGAUGGUAGAGAACCGGAUACUACCGGAGUGUUUCCAUCAAUACUAUCAAAAAGACGUCGCUUAGUUUGAAGUCUGAGCUAGCACUGAAACGGCCGAAGAGAUUUUUAAUCACAAUCAGAAAGAUGAUUCCAUUUUUCUCAGUCAUGAAUUCUACUGAAUGUACAAUUAACCGACAUGGAAAAGCAUAG
rnacentral:misc_RNA from 1 species